rnacentral:rRNA from 1 species
AAAUAUGAUAAUGACUUUAUCUCCCCAUAAGUCUUGACCAAAUUACGUGCCAGCAGUCGCGGUAAUACGUAGAAGACAAGUGUUAUUCAUCUUUAAUAGGUUUAAAGGGUACUUAGACGGUAAAUCAAGCCUUAAAAAGGGACUAAUUUGCUAGAGUUUUAUGUGAAAAAGUAUUAAAGUACUGCUGGUGUAGAGAUGAAAUUCUGUCAUACCUUGAAUGGCACAGGUUAAGGCGAAAGCAUCUUUUUAUGUAAAAACUGACGUUGAAGGACGAAGGCUUUGUGUCUCGAACAGGAUUAGAUACCCUAGUAGUCUAAGCAGACAAUGAUGAAUGUCAUAGAUUAGAUGUUAUUUGAUCUAUAAAUGAAAGUGUAAGCAUUCCACCUCAAGAGUAAUUUGGCAACAUUGGAACUGAAAUCAUUAGACCGUUUCUGAAACCA